rnacentral:misc_RNA from 1 species
AAGUCGUAACAAGGUAUCCGUAGGUGAACCUGCGGAUGGAUCAUUACUAAACUUUGAACGUUUGAAUUGCAAUUCAAUUUGCUUUUCAUUCGAUUUAAACCUCAUCAUUGUGAACUAUUUGGUGUUCUGACUUGAACGUUAGUGUUCAAUUCAGACACUGCUUUUUAAUGAAUACACUACUAAAAACUACAUCUAGAAAUCUUAAAACUUUUAGCAACGGAUCUCUAGGCUCUC